rnacentral:misc_RNA from 1 species
AAGACUAUAGACCUGCGGAGUACCUGCGGAGGGAUCAUUACUGAAGCAUUUGCAAUGGUUUUGUUGCUGCCUUGAAAAAGGAUCGUGCACGCCAUUCAAUCUUCUAUUUACCCACCUGUGCACCUUUCAUAGGCUUACGUUGAAUAAGUUGUCACUGUAAAUUGUGGAUGUGGGAGCGUAGCCCGUAGCUUGUUCUCAACUCUUGUUCAACUGUCUGUGUCUUUUUUAUACACACUAUUU